AUUGAACGCUGGCGGCAUGCCUUACACAUGCAAGUCGAACGGCAGCACGGGGGGUAACCCCUGGUGGCGAGUGGCGAACGGGUGAGUAAUAUAUCGGAACGUGUCCUGUAGCGGGGGAUAACCUAUCGAAAGAUGGACUAAUACCGCAUACGACCUACGGGUGAAAGCGGAGGCCCGCAAGGCUUCGCACUAUCGGAGCGGCCGAUAUCGGAUUAGCUAGUUGGCGGGGUAACGGCCCACCAAGGCGACGAUCCGUAGCUGGUCUGAGAGGACGAUCAGCCACACUGGAACUGAGACACGGUCCAGACUCCUACGGGAGGCAGCAGUGGGGAAUUUUGGACAAUGGGCGCAAGCCUGAUCCAGCCAUGCCGCGUGAGUGAAGAAGGCCUUCGGGUUGUAAAGCUCUUUCGGCGGGGACGAAACGGUUCGUGCUAAUACCACGGACUACUGACGGUACCCGCAGAAGAAGCACCGGCUAACUACGUG
rnacentral:rRNA from 1 species